AUGAAAGAAAGUUGACGAACCUUCCUGCCAGCGAGCGAUCCGGCACUGUGCUUCACAUUUUUUGCUCCUCACUGCUGACGCGCUGCGCCUUGGAACUUCACCCCACUAUCGCGCUUUGCUGACUUCCUCACCCAAGUGCUGUGCGGGAGAGAGCAGCGGGGGAGGAGUAAUAACGGAGAUACAAGCAAAAAGAGGUGAGGAGCUGCAGCAGCAUUUGCAGCAGCAGCUGCAGCAGCAUGGCAGAGCAGAGGCCCGGAGUGGGAGGCAGAAGGCAGUGUGCUCGUCAAGUUUGUCACCACGGAGAACCAAUACACAGUGGUGGGCACCUCAGUGCUGGUGGGAGUGAACAGCAACCUUGCUAGUCUGAAUGAAAUUGUCCACGUGUUCAUGAGAUGAGGCAAGUUAUUGGUUGUGGCCUGUUUGCAACACUUCCACUGUUAUUUCUUGUUAUAUCCAUCGUCUGUGUCACUGUUUUCAUUGAUUGCAUCAUUACCAUAUUUGACGACUUAUAAAAUGCAUGGGCUUAUAUAAGACGCACCUCAGUUUAGGCAGGCAUUAAAAAAAAAUAAUAAAUAAAUAAAUAAGCAGGUUUAAGGUCUGAAUAUGAAGUGAAGGGUUUCACCUGACAUUUGAAGCCCUCUCAUAUGUACUAUUCAUAUCCUUAUUAGAUUCCAAUAUUGUACAU